UACUCUCUCAGAUUAGAAAAACAUGGCGUUGAUCAAAGCUGACAUGCACUCCUAAAAACCCUAGCGGCCAAGUUAGAAAACACAGACGCCCGUCCGCCAUGUUUUGAACAACCGUCAGCCAUGUUUGAACGAAUGUGUGGUAGUCUAGGUCAUUGAACCAGAAACAUUUGACAUGAUUUCACAAAACAGAACUCGAAGCGUGACAGAGAGUGUAGACCGCCCCAAAAUACAUGUAGACUGGUCAUUCACUUUUAAUCAAUGAUCCAUUUAGACAAUGUACGUCGUAUAUGUCUGACCUUUGGUUAUCAGCCAAAAGCUCCCUGGUAAAGUGUAAGAAUAGCUGUUUUUCUUACGACGCUCGAAUCAGAUGUGACCUGCUUAUCAGUUGACCUUCGCCUUAUCUUGUUCUCUCACGAAAGAUCGGCCUUACCGUAUCAAAUUAAACAUAAAAUGGAACGAACUGUCAUGACAGUGUCACUGCUGGAUAAUUAAGGCCAAAACUCAAGACAGUAUGAUUUGCGUUGUAUUACGUUUGACAUAUAGAUUUCCAUAUUGUUUGAUAGUCGUGGAUAUCCAUUUGACACUUCCAACAGCAGUUUAACUGAAGCCGCUCCCUUCGUGUGGCCAAUCGCAGCCUCUGAAUUUUGUUUCAGCGGUGUUGAUCGAGCCAAUCACAAGGGAUAAGUGAAUUUACGUGAGACUUCCUUCCGGUCGAUUGUGCAUACGUGGAUAUCGAUUUUUUUUCAUUUUUAUGUUUGUUUAAGGGCCUGAAUGGUAAUCAGGAAGAGCUGCCAUGAGCCCUUUAGAAAGAACUGCAACCAAAUAUUUUCGGCAGUAAACAUCGCAUUGGAAGCAGUACGGUUCUCAUCUUGAGAUCAAGACUUCAACUUCGCUUCUUUCAUAUUCUAGUGGGCAUCCAAUUAUUGAGCUAACUGUGUCCAGAUUUAAAGGUUUUUCGUGAGAAACAUCUUUUUUCUUUGAAAAAAUAUUUCAAUUACACAAUGGGGGCCGAGGACAAUUCUAAAGACACGGAAAUGGCUGGUUCGACGGACUAUCUUGCGCCAAGCAUACAGAGUGAUAACCGGUCUCGCGAUGAAGGGAACCCUCUGGACUCGGUUGAUAUCGUCAGCCACAAGAGCCUGACCGUUCCCGGUGCCGUCGUGUUCAUCAUUGGGGGCAUGGCCGGCAGUGGCAUGUCGUUCUUUUAGCGGCGGAAAUCAUUCAGGAACUGCUCGCUGACGUCGGUGUACACGUGUCGUUCUGCUAUUGGAUAAUCAUCAUCGUGGCUGUUCUCACGCCUCCCACUUGGCUUGAGAGUCCAAAGGACAUGUGGUGAGGAAAUUACAUGAUUUCCUUGUGAUUUUGCUCUUCCCAUAUUGUCCAAUGGCUCUAGCUAUAUUUUGCAGAUAUUUCAUAAAAUGAAGAUCUAACCAGAGUCAAAAUUAUUGAAAGAGGCAAAGAUACAGACAAUGUUGAAACCAAAUGUACUUUAGUACUGACCCCCGUGCUGACUCGGAAUUUUGCAGAAGGAAAAGCAGAAGACAGCUUUCCAGCAAAUGGUCAUAUUCUUGGGGGAAUUCAGUCACGAUGUCUAACCGAUACUACCCUGUUGCGUCGGGAAUAGAUUUCUGGAAACAGACCAGACCAGCCCGAUAUUUUGUGGCUGGUGAAAUUAAGGGGUGUAAGGAGUGCAUUUCACCCCUCUAAAAUUCGUUAGAGUAAAGAUUUGGGCGAGUCGAUUGUGGCCUGUAGGCGGUAUAUUCAUUCAACUAGGCACCGUGUUAGUCGAUUUAUCAACUUCAGAUCCCUGACCAUGCUUUCAUCCACCUUCCGCAGGCACAUCGCAAUCGCAGCCUUGGCAUCUACCGCAAUCGCCUGCGUCUGCAUAGUCGCCAAAAUCAUUAUGGCGAGGGACUUGAUCGAGGCGUACCACAACCCUGUCGAUAUUAAGCCUGCCCUGAUGUCACUGGGGACCAUAUUCUUCGCCUACGGAAACCACCCUGUCCUGUUGUCCAUACAACACGACAUGAAGGAACAGGACAAGUUCUCCAAAUCCGUAUACAUCGCUUACACAUGUGGGUUAAAUCAACGCCACAUUGGUAGUGCUUACCGAAAGGAGUCGUUCUCAUAACAGCAUAGAGACCAAGAGUAGAGUCGCCAAAGUGACCUUUUAUCUAUCAGACUCCCUUCAAUGAAAUAGUCUUACGUUGAACCUGUCCCAGGAGCGCUGCGCUGUCCACUACAAAACCAAGCCCUGACCUAAUAUCCAAAUUGGUCAGUUUCCUGUUGUUUCAGGGAUGAUAAAUUAAUUUAACUUUAUUUUGCAAUGCCGAUAUGUUGCUCUCUUUUUUCAGUGGUUCUUUGUAUGUAUUUACCAGUCGCCAUGGCGGGGUAAUUUGUCUUGGGCAUCGGGGUAGACGACAACGUUAUAGCCUCCCUGUACGAGGUUGCCAAUGGACCACUUCUCUACGUCGCACAGAUUCUUCUUACUUUACACCUACUCUUUGAGUUCGUUAUCGUCAUCAACCCAGUGCUACAGGAAAUUGAAGGAGCACUGAAAGUACCACAAAGUAAGUACCUAAGUACCUAAUGUAUUAUAGUGUACAGGUGAUUACUGGUACUUUCAACACUGCCUGAACAUUCAUUCUCAAGUUCAAACUCAGGGUUGUUCUUCAGGAUCUCUCUUUCUCAUGUGAGCACAUAAAAAUUACCUUUCCGAAAGCAUUGGACAAUUCAAGAUGGUAGGUCCUCAUUUCUUUCAAAAAUUGGCAUCAAGAGAAUCGUAAUACGAACACUCUUUACGUGUGCGAUCUUGUUCGUGGCCGAGACCAUCCCAAAGUUUGGUAACCUGUUGAGUCUGGUUGGAGGAACCACCACUGCCCUCCUGUCCUUUUUCUUCCCCGUUUUCUUCUAGGGGGUUGAAGUUCAGCCCACAAAAACUGAGAUUUUAGAAAUAUUUGGUAUGUUCGAGUAAAACCCAUUUUAUCUGAUUAUUCAUCACAGUACUAUUGCUACUUAGCAUUGUCGAUGUUAUCGAUUGAAUCAUGAUUUCACGUUUUACCGAUAAUAGUUUCCGGCGACUAAAAUCGGUCGUCGAGCCAGUUGUAUUGUUAGACUUUGAAUGGAAGUGCUAUCGACGUCUGAUGCUUAAACUCGGGCUGCUAUCAUGUCAGAUAGUUCUUUCAUAAACGUCCCUUACUUGAAAUAAGUUGUCGCUGAACGAUAGCUACAGAUCAAAGGAUACUCUCUCUGAACCACUGGUCGCUGAUGGAAAUAUUCAGUCUCCAGGCAGAUUGAAGGUUACUAAGAGGACCUUAUUGCCCGACAAGGUGAUCAAAUAAUCCCGAUUAUUGGACGAUGUUCUCAGGUAUCACGUGCAUUAGUAUCUAGUACACCAUUGCAGAAAUUGUACAGAUCUACGUAUUAUCAAUUAAUCAAUCAAUAUUGGUAUUUACAAAGCAAUUACUCAGCAGGUGGGUAUUCUAGAGCGCUUUCUGUACCGAAAGCAGCAGGGCCUUAAGGAGGACAUUACUUGAAGCUGGACGAAACGACUUUGAUGUAUUGCCAAAUUCGUGCUUAUAUCCGCAGACUUGAUAUGACACGGUUAGUGUCAUCACAAGAAAAAACAGCCAAAAUGUGCGCUCAUUAGUAAAUCUUCCAAAAUAAACUGUGUCCAUCAAGUAACAUGAA